rnacentral:lncRNA from 1 species
GGUUUGGCAUUAAGACUCAACCAUCAUGACUUUAUGGUGCAAGACAUCUAUUGAAGAAAAUAUGACUCUGCGAGCAGACCUCUUCUUAAUACCAGAAUUAAAAGAUAAAGUCUACAAAAAUAUUUAAGGAAAGGGAUAGUUUGUCAGUCCAGAGAAUAUUAUUUUGAUUAUACUAUUAUUUGGUGAACGUAAAAACUGGGAUUUUAAACAAUUUUUAAAAGGAAAUAAUUAAAUUACAAAGAUAAGCGAUAUUUCAUAGUAGCAGAAUUACUUUUUUUUGCGCUAAAGAAUACUGUGAGAUUAUCAACUGUCAGAAAGUUUUAUGAACAGAGCCUCGUGUAGUUAUGAAGCUAUCAAAAGAUCAACUAAGGAAAGUUGUUGAAAAUCCCGACACCAGUCUUUUGGCAUGUGUAACAGCAUACCAUUGUCACACACAAGCGGUUGAGAGGGCGUAUUUUCGUUUACUUUUUGUGUUCAAACCAAAGUCAGCUUUAGCUCAAUUUAUUUUUUUUGUAUGCAAAAAAAUCUACCAUACAAAAAAAUAUAGUUUUUUUGAAAAAUCCUUAGUUUUAUAUAGCUCUGUGGUAGUGGAAAAAAUUAUUUAUCGGCCAAAAUACAUACUAUGAUGGCAGUUAUCUUAUCAAACACGGUUUUUGGCUCAGGCGACCAUAAUAAA